UCUUGACCUCGUGAUCUGCCCACCUUGGCCUCCCAAAGUGCUGGGAUUACAGGCAUGAGCCAUCGUGCCGGCCGAGAAAGAUUUUUUAAGAGGGAAGUGUCAGUUGCAUUAAAUGUUACAAAUGACUUGAUAUGAGGACCGAGGGGCUGUCAGGAAAGUUCCAGGUUGGAGCUGAAGGUGCAGAGGCGGCAGGAGGAAGUGCUGACCCCAAGGCAUGGCUGGAAUUGGCGCUAGGAGUUCAGAGAGGACCUUCGAGAGAAACAUUCAAGAAAUGCCAAUCAUUAUUUUGAGACGUGUGAUGGUAAAGAGAAGGAAGAUCACAUUUGAGCCUGCAGGGAUGAGGCACAGAAAUAUUUUUAGGAUGAAGAGAGAUCAAUAUUUGGAAGCUCAGGUGACAGGUAUGAAAAAGGAAGCAAAAUUGAUGGAAGAAAAUCCCAGAGGGACAGAAGGGAAUGAGAAGACACUGGGUCAAAUCUCUCAAUAAACAGCAAAGAAGUUACUCAAACUUCUAGAGAUGAGAGGAGAGGAGUGACAUUCUCGGAGGGCACUGAGUCUGCAGUUUGGGACAUGAGAACUCGAACUCCCUGGGGCAGAGAACCGGGGUCAGCCCAGGACUGUGAUGCUAUGUGAUCUAUCGGGUGCUGCUGCAGGCACUUCCAUCAUCUCGUUUAGGCCCCAUCAACAUGUUUUACAGCUCAGGGAAGUGAACUCAAAGAUGUUAAGUAACUUGCCCAACACAUACUUAGUAAAUAGCAGAACUGUUUUUAGCACAGAGCCCUUCUGCACAGCCCUGAGGACCACUGUCUUUAAACCACAGGGCUCACUGGGGGCACCAGUCCUGAGCAGCAGGUGGGUUUCCCCAGCAUCUCCCAGAAAACAGCCGACUGGAUUGGCUCAGGUGUGUGAGGGUACCUGGAUAUGUGAGCAGGGCAGGGUGGCAGAAGAGUGGGGGAUUCAGGAACCUAGGGGUGCCUGUCCAUCUUUGUUCUUGAAUUAUAUGAUUGCCUCUGGAAUUUCCGCUUCUGCACUCUCCCUCUCUUUCCUUCCCUGAUCACCCUCUCUGGGGCAAACUCCUCUUUUUGUCCCCAGCUGCCCCCAGUCCCUUACUCAGGCUUAGUAAACCUUGCCCUUCACCUGGCAGCAUCACAUCCCCACCAACCUGCUGCUAUUUGUUGAAAGAAGGGACCUGGGAGGUCGCUGGUCCACUGGCAAGUCACUUAGAGGAGGAAGGAAGAGUUGCCUUGCAGAGCUCCAUGGUGAUGUUUGCAGGUGCCAAGUGCGGCUGGGAGGCGGGUGGGCUGGCAUCCGCAAGUCACAUUCAUACUCUCUAGGGAAUGUCCACCUGGUCGGCAGGCGGGGAACUAGGGCUUAAGCCCACGGGUUAGUAUUAAGGGGGCCUUACUUGUUCUCCUCCACAUAAGAGAAUG